rnacentral:rRNA from 1 species
CCUACGGGAGGCAGCAGUAGGGAAUAUUGCUCAAUGGGGGAAACCCUGAAGCAGCAACGCCGCGUGGAGGAUGAAGGUUUUCGGAUUGUAAACUCCUUUUGUUAGAGAAGAUAAUGACGGUAUCCAACGAAUAAGCACCGGCCAACUCCGUGCCAGCAGCCGCCGUAAUACGGAGGGUGCAAGCGUUACUCGGAAUCACUGGGCGUAAAGAGCGCGUAGGCGGGAUAGCAAGUCAGAUGUGAAAUCCUAUGGCUUAACCAUAGAACUGCAUUUGAAACUGGUAUUCUGGAGUAUGGGAGAGGUAGGUGGAAUUCUUGGUGUAGGGGUAAAAUCCGUAGAGAUCAAGAGGAAUACUCAUUGCGAAGGCGACCUGCUAGGACAUAACUGACGCUGAUGCGCGAAAGCGUGGGGAGCAAACAGGAUUAGAUACCCCAGUAGUC